rfam:Ichthyophthirius multifiliis unplaced genomic scaffold scaff_1120509251414, whole genome shotgun sequence.
UCCGAGAUAGUAUAGUGGUUAGUAUUCCUGCCUGUCACGUAGUAGACCUGGGUUCAAUUCCCGGUCUCGGAA